UACGAAGGGGGCUAGCGUUGCUCGGAAUUACUGGGCGUAAAGGGCGCGUAGGCGGACAUUUAAGUUAGAGGUGAAAGCCCAGGGCUCAACCCUGGAAUAGCCUUUAAUACUGGAUGUCUUGAGUUCGGGAGAGGUGAGUGGAAUGCCGAGUGUAGAGGUGAAAUUCGUAGAUAUUCGGAAGAACACCAGUGGCGAAGGCGACUUACUGGACGAUUGUUGACGCUGAGGUGCGAAAGCGUGGGGAGCAAACAGG
rnacentral:rRNA from 1 species